rnacentral:rRNA from 1 species
AUGAACGCUAGCGACAGGCUUAACACAUGCAAGUCGAGGGGCAGCACAGGUAGCAAUACCGGGUGGCGACCGGCGCACGGGUGAGUAACGCGUAUGCAACUUGCCUAUCAGAGGGGGAUAACCCGGCGAAAGUCGGACUAAUACCGCAUGAAGCAGGGGCCCCGCAUGGGGAUAUUUGCUAAAGAUUCAUCGCUGAUAGAUAGGCAUGCGUUCCAUUAGGCAGUUGGCGGGGUAACGGCCCACCAAACCGACGAUGGAUAGGGGUUCUGAGAGGAAGGUCCCCCACAUUGGUACUGAGACACGGACCAAACUCCUACGGGAGGCAGCAGUGAGGAAUAUUGGUCAAUGGGCGCGAGCCUGAACCAGCCAAGUCGCGUGAGGGAUGAAGGUUCUAUGGAUCGUAAACCUCUUUUAUAAGGGAAUAAAGUGCGGGACGUGUCCCGUUUUGUAUGUACCUUAUGAAUAAGGAUCGGCUAACUCCGUGCCAGCAGCCGCGGUAAUACGGAGGAUCCGAGCGUUAUCCGGAUUUAUUGGGUUUAAAGGGUGCGUAGGCGGCCUUUUAAGUCAGCGGUGAAAGUCUGUGGCUCAACCAUAGAAUUGCCGUUGAAACUGGGGGGCUUGAGUAUGUUUGAGGCAGGCGGAAUGCGUGGUGUAGCGGUGAAAUGCUUAGAUAUCACGCAGAACCCCGAUUGCGAAGGCAGCCUGCCAAGCCAUGACUGACGCUGAUGCACGAAAGCGUGGGGAUCAAACAGGAUUAGAUACCCUGGUAGUCCACGCAGUAAACGAUGAUCACUAGCUGUUUGCGAUACACUGUAAGCGGCACAGCGAAAGCGUUAAGUGAUCCACCUGGGGAGUACGCCGGCAACGGUGAAACUCAAAGGAAUUGACGGGGGCCCGCACAAGCGGAGGAACAUGUGGUUUAAUUCGAUGAUACGCGAGGAACCUUACCCGGGUUUGAACGCAUUCGGACCGAGGUGGAAACACCUUUUCUAGCAAUAGCCGUUUGCGAGGUGCUGCAUGGUUGUCGUCAGCUCGUGCCGUGAGGUGUCGGCUUAAGUGCCAUAACGAGCGCAACCCUUGCCACUAGUUACUAACAGGUAAAGCUGAGGACUCUGGUGGGACUGCCAGCGUAAGCUGCGAGGAAGGCGGGGAUGACGUCAAAUCAGCACGGCCCUUACAUCCGGGGCGACACACGUGUUACAAUGGCGUGGACAAAGGGAUGCCACCUGGCGACAGGGAGCAAAUCCCCAAACCACGUCUCAGUUCGGAUCGGAGUCUGCAACCCGACUCCGUGAAGCUGGAUUCGCUAGUAAUCGCGCAUCAGCCAUGGCGCGGUGAAUACGUUCCCGGGCCUUGUACACACCGCCCGUCAAGCCAUGGGAGCCGGGGGUACCUGAAGUCCGUAACCGCGAGGAUCGGCCUAGGGUAAAACUGGUGACUGGGGCU